GCUGGGUUGUGACUGUCCGGUGUCAGUGCGUCUGCCUGGGAGCUCCUAUUUCAGCUGUACUGUUAGGCUGUGGCAGCAUUUUCCAGAUGACUUGUCAACACCAUCAUGUGAGUCUCCAUUACUGCCUGGGACUUUGCACACCUCCGUUCCAGCCUCUCAGCUCCAUCAGAACAGUCCUCUUUCCAAAGGCGCUGGUGUCUGUGGAAAAGGCUGCAUUGGAUCUCCAGUGUGACCAUUGCUAUCCUCACCUGUCCAUGCUCACUCCCCGGUGAGCAGCGGCUCUGCCCCUUGCUGUCACCAGCCUGUGACUGCAGCUAAUGGGCUGAAGCCUGCAGCCUUCAAUCUGUUUGAACAGAG